UACGUAGGGGGGCAAGCGUUGUCCGGAUUUAUUGGGCGUAAAGAGCGUGUAGGCGGCCAAGCAGGUCCGCUGUGAAAACUCGAGGCUCAACCUCGAGACGCCGGUGGAAACCAUCAGGCUAGAGUCCGGAAGAGGAGAGUGGAAUUCCUGGUGUAGCGGUGAAAUGCGCAGAUAUCAGGAAGAACACCCGUGGCUAAGGCGGCUCUCUAGUACGGUACUGACGCUGAGACGCGAAAGCGUGGGGAGCGAACAGG
rnacentral:rRNA from 1 species